UGUUGCUCUUCUUCUGUUUCCUCAUCCAGAUCGUGGAACUCUCGAGCCCCAGUAGUAAGGUCCAUCUCCCACAUCUUGACCGCCUUGGUUUUUCGGAUCACUACAUAGAUUCGUCAAACAUUAUCGUCACCUAUCCUCCAGCACUUACGCUUGAAACCAAUAUAAGCAAUGACAUAGAUCGGGAUACCGAUGUAGUUGGUGAUGAAUGCCUUGUAGUCCCAAGGCAUAAACCCGUCAAAGCCCUUGAAGAAACAAACGAGACAGGUAAAAAAUAAGGAGCAGUAGGUGAAGUAUGGCUGAAGGGGAGAUUUGUAAGGAAGAGUGUCUCGUGAGAUGCCUUGAGCUUUCAUUCCGCGCAUGAAGGCGACGUGGGAAGAGAGGAUGGAGAUCUAAAAUACGUCAAUUUCGUAUCUUUCCGUGUUAUCUAGCCUCUCUUACCCAAAAAGCGCAUCGCUGCUAGCAACAAGGUACGCCAAACCCAUGAACAUGGCGGUAAAUAUGAAGGCUACCCAGGGGACGCCUCGGCUAUUACACUUGGUGAAAAUGCGGGGCAUAUUUCCGUCCUUGGCCAUGCCAUAGAGCGUUCGUGAGGCAAUGUACUGAUCAGAGUUGGCGGCGGAGAUGGUGAAAAUCAAGAUGCUGUGACUGGGCCGGGCAGAACUUUGAUACCCGCAGACUCAAUAGCGACAACGAAAGGAGAAGCGCUAGCACCACCUGAGGUACCCUUCUUGGCGGCUUGGGCGAGCAAAGGUGAGGAAGAAUCAACGAUCAUACCGACUAAGAGUGAGGAGAAGACAUAGAAGAAAAUGAUACGGAGAAAAGUUUUACGAAUAGCAGAAGGGACAGUUUUUCGUGGGUUCUACGCGUACAUGACACCAAUCAAUUCAGUACCUAUGUACGCGAAAAGUGCCAAUACCAAAGCAUUCACAAAUCCCAGAAACUUUCCCAAAUCACCCGCCGUCUUGUACGCUUUAAAUGCCCUCCCGUGCUCCCAAUACCUAAAUCCAAGCCUUUCUUGUCCUGGCACUCCUCCAAGAUCAAUUAUGAGUGCCAACAAGAUCAAGCCAGUGAGCGUGAUGAUCUUGAUGAAGGAUAACCAAAACUCAAUCUCGCCAAACCAUCUGACACCGAGACAGUUGAUGGCAAUGACGAAUGUGAUAAGAAUAGUUACCCAGGCGGCGCCGUUGAUGGAGUCAUUCCAAUAACGGAUGACGAGGGAACCAGCGACAAUUUGAUUAGGGGAAAUGAUCAGGUACUGGAAGUUUCCUAGUCAGCCGGGACAAUCUGCGUAGUUCGAACGAUAUCAACAAACUUUACAAAGGUAGACAAGGGCAGUACAGAAGCCGAAAGCGGGAUCGACACACCGAGUGGCAUGACCAGCAAAACCCUUUUUAGAUGGAUACUUUGUUGACAUUUCACCCAGGGCCAUCUACUGACGAAUCAGCACUGUAGGUCGGGAGAUAGGACUCAGAACGCCCAAAACUCACCAUCACGCCACAGCAUACUGUACCCAUGAUUACAUAAGAGAUGAAUAAGCUGGCUGGGCCUGACCUGGCAAGACUCGUGCCAGAUCCAAUAACCAGACCCGUACCUACCCUUUGGUCAGCCACCUCUACUCUCGGGCAUGACUCCCGUCGAUCACUUACCAAUAGCACCCCCGAGGGCAAUCAUUGAAAGUUGUCGAGGUGACAAUGCCCUAUGAGUCUCCUCCUCUCUUGGAACGACAUUCUCGCUCCCAUCGUUGGGGUAGACAAUCGCUUCGCCUUCGUAGACGUGAGGCCCAGAGUCCUUCUCCGCUGAUGACUUCUCGUAGGGUAACGAGUAAUCGGCGCGCUCGAUACUCAUGUCUUGAUGGUUGGGUUUACAAAUAUAAAGUGAUGGUAGAGAUGGAGAAGGAAAAUUGACGAGUCUUCAUUCCCCUUUCUUAUGACAAUAAGAAACAAGGGCCUUUAAUACUUCUAUUUUUUUUUUCCAACCUUUUGCUUUGGCAAGCUGGCUUACCUGCUGACCUUGGCCUAUGGUUUCGCAGGGCCAGAUCCGACCGCUCAGGAAAGGAAGGCCACCAUGACAACAGCAAUCAUGACAACCCAUGUUCCUGAUUCCAGGAAGAACCUAGAGUAAAAUAGCAUAAACAAUAGUUUCCCCACGUCGGUAUUCCCGCUGGUGAACGCGGGGAAAAAUGCUCUAUACAUGUCACUUGAUCUCAGGCACCAGCUUGGCACACGUUAUCUCUAUCCAUUACCGCGUGGAGUGAUUAGAUCUUCACUUAUUUAAGCGAACAUAUGGCGAAUUUUUUGAUCGGUUACUUCAUUUCCGGCGGCGUGUUUCGAUGCACAGCGCUUACAGCGCUUUUCAAGGGUCGUCAAAGCAUGGUAUGAUGUUUGAUCGUCGAAGAAGACUGAAA
rnacentral:sRNA from 1 species